GAUGAACGCUGGCGGCGUGCCUAAUACAUGCAAGUCGAGCGAACGGACGAGAAGCUUGCUUUUCUGAUGUUAGCGGCGGACGGGUGAGUAACACGUGGAUAACCUACCUAUAAGACUGGGAUAACUUCGGGAAGCCGGAGCUAAUACCGGAUAAUAUUUUGAACCGCAUGGUUCAAAAGUGAAAGACGGUCUUGCUGUCACUUAUAGAUGGAUCCGCGCUGCAUUAGCUAGUUGGUAAGGUAACGGCUUACCAAGGCAACGAUGCAUAGCCGACCUGAGAGGGGGAUCGGCCACACUGGAACUGAGACACGGUCCAGACUCCUACGGGAGGCAGCAGUAGGGAAUCUUCCGCAAUGGGCGAAAGCCUGACGGAGCAACGCCGCGUGAGUGAUGAAGGUCUUCGGAUCGUAAAACUCUGUUAUUAGGGAAGAACAUAUGUGUAAGUAACUGUGCACAUCUUGACGGUACCUAAUCAGAAAGCCACGGCUAACUACGUG
rnacentral:rRNA from 1 species